GACGAACGCUGGCGGCGUGCUUAACACAUGCAAGUCGAACGGAAAGGCCCUGCUUUUGUGGGGUGCUCGAGUGGCGAACGGGUGAGUAACACGUGAGUAACCUGCCCUUGACUUUGGGAUAACUUCAGGAAACUGGGGCUAAUACCGGAUAGGAGCUCCUGCUGCAUGGUGGGGGUUGGAAAGUUUCGGCGGUUGGGGAUGGACUCGCGGCUUAUCAGCUUGUUGGUGGGGUAGUGGCUUACCAAGGCUUUGACGGGUAGCCGGCCUGAGAGGGUGACCGGCCACAUUGGGCCUGAGGUACGGCCCAGACUCCUACGGGAGGCAGCAGUGGGGAAUAUUGCACAAUGGGCGGAAGCCUGAUGCAGCAACGCCGCGUGCGGGAUGACGGCCUUCGGGUUGUAAACCGCUUUCGCCUGUGACGAAGCGUGAGUGACGGUAAUGGGUAAAGAAGUACCGGCUAACUACGUG
rnacentral:rRNA from 1 species